rnacentral:rRNA from 1 species
GACGAACGCUGGCGGCGUGCUUAACACAUGCAAGUCGAACGGAAAGGCCCUGCUGUUGUGGGGUGCUCGAGUGGCGAACGGGUGAGUAACACGUGAGUAACCUGCCCUUGACUUUGGGAUAACUUCAGGAAACUGGGGCUAAUACCGGAUAGGAGCUCCUGCUGCAUGGUGGGGGUUGGAAAGUUUCGGCGGUUGGGGAUGGACUCGCGGCUUAUCAGCUUGUUGGUGGGGUAGUGGCUUACCAAGGCUUUGACGGGUAGCCGGCCUGAGAGGGUGACCGGCCACAUUGGGACUGAGAUACGGCCCAGACUCCUACGGGAGGCAGCAGUGCGGAAUAUUGCACAAUGGGCGGAAGCCUGAUGCAGCAACGCCGCGUGCGGGAUAACGGCCUUCGGGUUGUAAACCGCUUUCGCCUGUGACGAAGCGUGAGUGACGGUAAUGGGUAAAGAAGCACCGGCUAACUACGUG